GUGUCAGCAGCCGCGGUAAUACGAAGGACCCGAGCGUUAUCCGGAUUUAUUGGGUUUAAAGGGUGCGUAGGCGGACUUUCAAGUCAGUGGUGAAAGCCCAUCGCUCAACGAUGGAAUUGCCAUUGAUACUGUUGGUCUUGAGUACGGUUGAAGUGGGCGGAAUGUGUCAUGUAGCGGUGAAAUGCUUAGAUAUGACACAGAACACCUAUUGCGAAGGCAGCUCGCUAAGCCGUAACUGACGCUGAGGCACGAAAGUGUGGGUAGCAAACAGGAUUAGAUACCCUCGUAGUCC
rnacentral:rRNA from 1 species